UCAACUAGAGAUGUCACCGAAGAAGGACAUCAAUCAUUUCCAAGGCUUCUGGUCUGGCUCACAUGCAAUUAAACAAAAUCAGCUCAAGGAUAAAUUGAGGCAUCUGGGUUGAUGAUCAUGAAGCUAUAUUCAGCAUUUAGGCAGAAACAGAGCCAAGUUCCCUUGGAGCUUACAGAAGUUUCUGCCCAGAAGUAAUCCACAAAGAAGCAGCUCAAGGGUCUGCUGAACUAAGUUCAAAACUCUUCAGAAGGACCAAGCUCGCUGGGCCUAGCUGUUGGUAUAUUAUGGAAAUAUACAAGUGCACAGAUUUUUCAGUAGACUUGCAAAGUUUGUUGGGUUGCAAAGCUUGGGCCUGGCCUAUAGUUUUGACCAGAUAGUAUCAUUGCUCCGGAAGGUUUGACUUCACAUGAGCAGUUCCGAGAAGCCAUAACCAAUGAUGUUCACACCUUGGCUCAGACAGUGAAUCAUUUGCAAGCUUGACUGCUUUAACUACUACUGGUGUUACUCUGAAACUACUGACAGCCCAGCCACGGUUGACAGCUCAACUCACACAGCACAGCAGGGACACAUGCCAUUAAGACGACUGACAUCUUCAGAGCGCAACCAAUAAAAACUUCCU